UUUUGCUCCGUUUUUCGGAGAUUGACAGUUCAUCAUCUUUAAUAAAACAUAACCAGUUUCAUUAACAUCCAUCAUCUUUAGCCUUCUUUUAACCGAUUUCAUGUCUUCUGUUUGAAAAGUGGAAAAUCAGGAAAAGACUAACGGCAUUAAAUUGCAGCAAAAGUUAACAUGGUCGACAUGGAGAAAACUGUUCAUUAACCGCUUUUGUAUUGUCGGGGUAGAUAAUGCCUGCAGGAAGUGCAAGUUCAGCACAAGUUCGAAACCACGCUCCAACACGCUGUGAUGGAAGAGUAUCCUCGUUAGAAAGCAUCCGUGGUCUUCGUGCGCCGACACAUAUGUGAUUUAGCGGGAAAAGUUCACGGAUCGUGCGACACGAAACAUCGAAAUCGGCAUCACCUUUCUCCGCUAAACUCUCUAUCGGUCGUAGACGAUUGGAAAGAAAUCCGACUAAAUAAUCGCAAGUCUGUCUAGCACAUGCUAAAAGGAAGUUUAUGAUUCUUUUUUUUUCUUCCAUUCAGUGUAUAUUGCACAUCCGACUCCCUUCUUGCAGCACAGGUUGCGCCGAAUAGCGGUAUGCAGGACAGUAGGUCGCCAUCUCAGUAGCGGUAGACCGGCAAGUCCCCUUCUUCUCUUUUCUUUUUUUUUUACUUCUUCCUCCUUCCUGCUCUCUCUCUCUCUCUCUCUCUCUCUCUCUCUCUCUUUAACCAGGCGGAUCAUAUCUUUCCCAAAUGGCUGCUCACAUGAUUGUCUUUUUCUCCUUCCUCAUGAUAUUGUCGGAAAGUUGUUAAAAGUAGUUCACUAAUGGAUGGAUCAACAUGUUAUCAAAAUGUUCUUCAUACAUGCGCAAAUAAUAAUUUUCAUAACGUUAACAAGAACAGAAAUGUUCGUAAAACAUUUCAAAUAUAAAAAGAUACAGAGAGGACUUUUGCGUCAUCUUGAUGCAGCUGCUUUGUGCUGAUUCAUAUUCAAAGUGAUUUGUUUCCUGCAGCCGCUUUUUCCUUCUCUUCCGCUUUCUUUGACUGCAUCAGUCGAGAAGGUAUUCUCUUCCGGUAUUUGCAACUUCACAGAUAUCAUUGUAGAGCAGAUGACUUCUGUUCAUUCUCCGCUUAACAUAUCCUCACUGCAUCUCUCUACGUGCUCUUUCACUCUUCCCAUCGCUUUCUCCCUCGCUCACGCACUCAUUCAGAGACUUCGUCUGUGGUCUUUCGCUUUAUGGUCUCUCUCAGGAUUUUAUGAUCUCUCUUACCGCUUUCUGUCUCUCUUUUUCUCUUUCUCCAACCGCUUCUUCUCUCAUCUUACAUUCUGUCUCACUCCCCGUUCCCCGAUUAUCUCACGUGCUUGAUGAUCUCGAAAGAGUCGUUCGGUCCUCACGAGAACCUCCACUCUUCUUCCACCACCUAUCUCCGAACCGGGACCUUACGUAUCCCCGAAGACGAACGGCGAUUUACUCGCAUUCGCGGUCGACAUGUCGCAUCAUCCGAAAUUCACUAGCAAAAAUCGCCGUAAGGCGAGUACCGGUCUUAAGUAAGUGCGAACAUGUUCAAUCUCGUAUAACGAGUCUGCGAUAUUGUGACGUGUGCUCGUUGUGAAAAUCCUGGAUCCGUGCAAUCCGAAAUCUCUCUAAAGCUGACAUGGACUUUUGUAAAAAUUGACCUCGAAAGAAAAUCAAUCUGAAGUGUGGAUAUUUCGGACAUCGAAAAUUAGAAGAUAUUUCCCAGUUAUACCGUCACAAUACUUUCAUCCAGCUUGACUCUCGCAGAAGUGGGCCGGUCAGCCCCGAGGCUGUAGGCCAGUUCAUAUUAAGUACUCGAGGACCGGGCGGAAGGAAAUUCGUAAGAAAGAGACGAAGGAGCGAGGGGGUGAGCGAGAGAGAGAGAGAGAGAGAGAGAGAAAGAGAAAUGAAUUUUGCUAGAGGGAAGAAAAGAAAGCCGAAAGAUUAACCAGUCUCGGGCAUCUUAUGAUAAAAAA